CACCUUACAAAACCAUAUUCAACUAUACAUACUAAUUACUAAAUUUACUAUUAAGUCCACCUUACUAAUAAAAUAUAAUUUAUAUUAUCCGGAUAUAUUAAAUAAAAUUAAUUAUAGUAGUCCAUUAAAUCUUCUUCAUAAGCUACAUUAUGACUUGACAUAAUAACCAAAACAUUUAAUUAGUCCUUUUAUUCUUAAAAUAUAAACUGACGACAGCAAUAUAUAAACUGUUAUAUUAAUAUAUAAUAUCAAAAAAAAGUAAGUCUAAAAUGUGGAUUAUCAAAUUAUUUUAACAAACUCCCCUAACUGGAUAUGUAAAACCGCCAAACCUUUUAAGUUUUAAAUAUAUAUAAUAUUGCUAAGUAACAUAUAAUAAUUUACUUAUCUUCAUAAUACUUAGGUAAAAUAAUCAAUUUUUACUUUUAAAAA
rnacentral:rRNA from 1 species